rnacentral:piRNA from 1 species
UGCUAGAGCACGAGGCAAAUCACAGUCAGC